AAGUCGUAACAAGGUUUCCGUAGGUGAACCUGCGGAAGGAUCAUUACUGAGAUAGGGUUCUUUACGAGCCCGACCUCCAACCCUUUGUCUACCAAACCACUGUUGCCUCGGCGGGUCGCCGGCGUCUUUACGGGCGCCGCCGUCGGCCUUUACGCUCUCGAGUGCCCGCCGUAGGACCAAUAAACUCUUUAUUAAACAAGUAUAUCUGAGUGAGAAUCAAUGCUUCAAAUAAAA
rnacentral:misc_RNA from 1 species